rnacentral:rRNA from 1 species
GACGAGUGCUGGCUGCGUGCUUAACACAUGCAAGUCGAACGGUGAAGGGGAGCUUGCUCCCCGGAUCAGUGGCGAACGGGUGAGUAACACGUGGGCAACCUGCCCCUCACUCUGGGAUAACUCCGGGAAACCGGGGCUAAUACCGGAUACGACCGGGAGCGACAUCGCUCCUGGUGGAAAGAACUUCGGUGAGGGAUGGGCCCGCGGCCGAUCAGCUAGUUGGUGGGGUAACGGCCCACAAGGCGACGACGGGUAGCCGGCCUGAGAGGGCGACCGGCCACACUGGGACUGAGACACGGCCCAGACUCCUACGGGAGGCAGCAGUGGGGAAUAUUGCGCAAUGGGCGAAAGCCUGACGCAGCGACGCAGCGUGAGGGACGAAGGCCUUCGGGUUGUAAACCUCUUUCAGCGGGGACGAAGCGAAAGUGACGGUACCCGCAGAAGAAGCACCGGCUAACUACGUGCCAGCCGCCGCAGUAA